rnacentral:rRNA from 1 species
GGGGUCUUAAGAGGGCCCGUAGCCGCAGGGGACAGACCAGAAACCGAGCGAUCUAGGCCUGGCCAGGGUGAAGCUCAGCGUAUGCUGAGUGGAGGCCCGAAGGGGUUCUGGGGUACAGACCGUUCCCAUGAGCUGGGCCUAGGGGCGAAAGACCAAUCUAGCUCGGUGAUAGCUGGUUCCCGCCGAAGUGGCGCCUCAGGCCAGCCUCACCGGAGGAAGAUACCGCGGUAGAGUUACAGAUGGGAGAUAGGCCGUCUCUGCGACGGUUUCUAUCUCCUGUCUGACUCCGAAUGCGGUAUCUCCGUAGAUGGUGGGAGACGGGUCUCGGGGGGUAAGCUCCCGAACCGAGACGGGGCCAACCGAGACCGCGGUUAAGGCCCCAAAGCCCCGCCUUAGUGUUAAUGCUGAAGGGAGUCUCGCAGCGAAGACAGCGGGGAGGUAGGCUUAGAAGCAGCCAUCCUCUAAGGAGUGCGUAAAAGCUCACCCGUCGAGCUGCGAGGCCCCGAAGAUGGACGGGGCUCAAGGCGGGCGCCGAUACCGCGGGGCAUUCCGAAAGGAAUGAUCCGGUAGGCGGGCGUUCCCGUGGGGAGAAAGCCGGGUUGAGAGAUCCGGUGAACCCGCGGGAAAUGAGAAUCCCGGGGGGAGUAGCAGCAAAGUCGGGUGAGAAUCCCGACCGCCGGAGGGGCCAGGGUUCCCCGGCACUGAUCGUCAGCCGGGGGUUAGCCGGUCCUAAGGCUAGUCCUAACUGGAACUAGCCGAAAGGGAAUCCGGUUAAUAUUCCGGAGCCGCGUGGGUAGGUUUGCGGCAACGCAGGUCCCGCUUCUGACGGCUUGGGGUAGGGGAUCUGGAGCCGUCGCUCCAGCUAACUGGCCGAAACCCGCUGAGAACCGUAAUGGUGAGAAGCGGGUGAAAGGCAGGAAUGGCCGCCCGUUUUAGGGUGGUAUCCCUGAUCCCCAGGUCCCCUGAAAAGGGAGCGGGAAAAUCCGAUCCCACGCGUCCGUACCGAGAACCGGGACAGGUGCCCCUGGGUGAGUAGCCCAAGGCGUGUCGGGUUAUGGAGGGCUAGGGAACUCGGAACCAAUAGCCCCGUAACUUCGGGAGAAGGGGUGCCUGCGGGUGUGUAGCCCGCAGGUCGCAGUGACAAGGGGGUCCCGACUGUUUAAUAAAAACAUAGCGGGCCGCUAGGCCGUAAGGCUGAGUACGGCUCGUGAAUCCUGACCCAGUGGGGGUCGGCGAACCCCGGGUCCAACCGGGCUAAGCCCCCCUAAACGGCGGGAGUAACUGUGACUCUCUUAAGGUAGCCAAAUGCCUUGCCGGGUAAGUUCCGGCGUGCAUGAACGGACCAACGAGGGCCCCGCAGUCCCAGCCCUCCGCCCGGCGAAUCCACAGCCCAGUGAGCAGUCUGGGCCCACCCGGCUGGGAGAGAAGACCCCGUGGAGCUUCACCGCAGCCAGACGUUGUGGCUUUAUCGGCCAUGCGUAGCGUAGGCGGGAGCAAUGAAUCUGGGGCUUCGGCUCCAGAGGAUGCGACCAUGAAACACCGCCCAUGGCUGAUGAAGCCGCUAACCCGAAAGGGGACAGCGUUUGGUGGGCGGUUUGGCUGGGGUGGCACACCCGUGACACGAGAUCACGGGUGCGCAAUGGUCGGCUCACCCGGGACAGAAACCCGGGGUAGAGGGCAAGGCCAAAAGCCGGCCUGACUGCGAGUCUAACAACGGGACUCGCAGGGGGGAAACCCGGUCCUAGCGAUCCGUCGUGUCCCCACUGGUGGGGGCCGGCGGUAACGGAAAAGUUACCCCGGGGGUAACAGAGUCGUGGCGGGCGAGAGUCCACAUCGACCCCGCCGUUUGCUGCUCCGCUGUCGGCUCUUCCCAUCCUGGCGGUGUAUAGGCCGCCAAGGGUAGGGCUGUUCGCCCGUUAAAGGGGAUCGUGAGCUGGGUUUAGAGCGUCGCGAGGCAGCUCGGUCUUCUCCUGCCGGGUGCGUUGCCGCCUGAGGGGAAGGCCCCCCUAGUACGAGAGGAACAGGGGGCCGGGGCCUCUGGUCUACCGGUCGUCCGACAGGGCGCGCCGGGCAGCUAAGCCCUAACGGUUAACCGCUGAAAGCAUCUAAGCGGGAAACCGACCCCAAGACGAGGCGGCGUAGGGCUCCCCUAAAAGAGGGGCUUGAUAGAGCGGGGGUGUAAGGCCCAAGGCUUCGGCCGAGGGCUUCAGCCUGCCGCUACUAAAAGCCCGAGCCCAGUUACC